UAGACAGGGGUUGCCUCAGUAGCGGCGAGUGAAGCGGCAAGAGCUCAGAUUUGAAAUCGUGCUUUGCGGCACGAGUUGUAGAUUGCAGGUUGGAGUCUGUGUGGAAGGCGGUGUCCAAGUCCCUUGGAACAGGGCGCCCAGGAGGGUGAGAGCCCCGUGGGAUGCCGGCGGAAGCAGUGAGGCCCUUCUGACGAGUCGAGUUGUUUGGGAAU
rnacentral:rRNA from 1 species